rnacentral:rRNA from 1 species
CACCACUCAUCAUACCAUAAAAGCUUGCCUGCCAGAUGUUGUUACCUUAACCGCAAGGAAAAAGAUGUUGAAGGCAGGGUUAGUGACUGGAGUUAAGUCAUAGCAAGGUACUUGUACUGGAAGGUACAAUUG